GGGCCCGCACAAGCGGUGGAGUAUGUGGUUUAAUUCGAUGCAACGCGAAGAACCUUACCAGGGUUUGACAUCCUGCGAAUCUCUUGGAAACGAGAGAGUGCCUUCGGGAACGCAGUGACAGGUGGUGCAUGGCUGUCGUCAGCUCGUGUCGUGAGAUGUUGGGUUAAGUCCCGCAACGAGCGCAACCCACGUCGUUAGUUGCCAGCAUUUAGUUGGGCACUCUAGCGAGACCGCCGGUGAUAAACCGGAGGAAGGUGUGGAUGACGUCAAGUCAUCAUGCCCCUUACAUCCUGGGCUACACACGUACUACAAUGCUACGGACAAAGGGCAGCAAGUUCGCGAGGACAAGCAAAUCCCAUAAACCGUGGCUCAGUUCAGAUCGUAGGCUGCAACUCGCCUACGUGAAGGCGGAAUC
rnacentral:rRNA from 1 species